GCGCCAGUAGCUCAGGUGGAUAGAGCAACGGCCUUCUAAGCCGUAGGUCUCCGGUUCGAAUCCGGACUGGCGCG
rnacentral:tRNA from 1 species